rnacentral:rRNA from 1 species
AACGAACGCUGGCGGCAUGCCUAAUACAUGCAAGUCGAACGAUCACUUCGGUGAUAGUGGCGCACGGGUGCGUAACGCGUGGGAAUCUGCCCUUGGGUUCGGAAUAACAGCGGGAAACUGCUGCUAAUACCGGAUGAUGACGUAAGUCCAAAGAUUUAUCGCCCAAGGAUGAGCCCGCGUAGGAUUAGCUAGUUGGUGGGGUAAAGGCCUACCAAGGCGACGAUCCUUAGCUGGUCUGAGAGGAUGAUCAGCCACACUGGGACUGAGACACGGCCCAGACGCCUACGGGAGGCAGCAGUAGGGAAUAUUGGACAAUGGGGGCAACCCUGAUCAAGCAAUGCCGCGUGAGUGAUGAAGGCCUUAGGGUUGUAAAGCUCUUUUACCAGAGAUGAUAAUGACAGUAUCUGGGGAAUAAGCCCCGGCUAACUCCGUGCCAGCCGCCGCCGUAAAAC